UUUGAAAAGUCCACGUUGCUCACCAGUGC
rnacentral:piRNA from 1 species